AAUUUAACAUAUAAAAUCAACGACCACACCUGUAUCUACUUUACUAUAAUAUCAGGUACAUUCUAAAAUAUAUGCAUUACAUACAUAUACAAAAAUAUUUUAGAAGAAUAAAAUUAUGAAACAAAAAGAAAAUGCUAAUGCUUUCUUCUUAACUUGCAGUGAGUUCUUUUGUGCAUUCCAUGAAAUGUGUGCAGUCUACAGGAGUCCCUGCUAGAUAGACUGGAGAGCCAUCACAAGGAAUUACAGAAUUAAACACAUGUAAUUGUUAUCUGUCUCAUUGCAGAGCUGGGAUUCGAGGCAGGAAUACAAAUCAGGAAAAAACAAUAGAGCAGAAAAGAGAAGUUUGGCAUCUGACUCAAGGUUGCAGCAACGGCAUGAAAUCUGCUCGCUCUGACCCUGGAAAUGCCCAGCUGGAGAACUGGUGUGCAUUUGUGAUGUCUGGGUGGACCAGCUGGGUAACAUCACCAUGCCUGUGCAUAGAGAAGGAAUGAUUCUCCCUCUUCCCUUUCACUGUAUCCAGAGUCUGCUAAUGAGGUCCAGAGGACUGACUGCAGAGCCCAUUUUUCCUUUGUAGGAGGCACAUAUGGUACAAUUAUAAAUUACCCAUACCCAAGCCAAAUACACACACACACACACAGAUUAAAUGUAAGCAGUUAAUGAAACAAACAUAUGAAUUAUAGCAGACAUCAAAGUAUCUCUUUUUCAGGGUUACCAUUUUGGAUUACCAUCUAGCCCAUUAGAUGUUUGCUGAAUAAAUUCAGACCAGUGUUAACCA
rnacentral:lncRNA from 13 species